rnacentral:lncRNA from 1 species
CGUAGUCUCAACCUUACUCUCAAACGUCUUGAGUGGGACACGCACUAGUGUCAAAACUUAAUUUUAAUGUGCGCGCACCAACCUUCCCCAAGCCAGUCGAGCUCUGUGAGGGCGGGGACUUGGGCAAAAUCAAAAAUCACAAAACGCCAAGCAAGAUACUGAACACAGCAGGCUCACGCUAAAGACAAAUAUGAAGGGUCUUUCUGCAAUAACUACACCAAAUUUUUAUCUAAACUAAAUCAGUCUCUUUAGCAUACCCGCUCACAACUCGAACCACUUCCUACCCACGCAACGAACUCCGCACCGACUUAGAAAGUCACUCACCCCAGCGCUAGAGAAAAACAAGGAAGUUUAGACGGCGCGCUAGUGACGUCACACGCACGCGGCGGCCCAGGUCUUACGCAUGCGUACACGGUCUCUAGGGCUAAACUUACUGCUCCCAGGCCGUGGAGGACGAACUGCAUGCAUGAUGAUGGUUCCUAGGCCUAAGGUUUCUCUGCAGAGGUGGAGAAGAAAGAAAUUAAAGACGAUCCAUCAAAAAGCUAGAAGGAAUGGAAAAGUCAACAUCACAGAGUUCCCUUGCUGAACACUGAAGGAGAAUAAUGUGCCCAUCUUGAAGAUUCAAUACAUAGAAGUGACAUCUGCCAGCCAUAUCCCAAAGAAACAAUCUAAUUUACAGGAGUCAGGUGUCUGAAAUCUGAGAAGUAUACCACUACUAUAAGAAUUUCUUUACAGACAUACCUCAGAGAUGUUGCCGGUUUGGUUCCAGACCACCACAAAUAAAGUGAAUAUUGCAAUAAAGUAAGUCAAAUGAAUUUUUUGGUUUCCCAGUGCAUAUUAAAGUUAUGUUUACACUGUACUGUAGUCUGUUAAGUGUGCAGUAGCACUGUGUUUAAAAAAACA